CAUCUGAUUCCUUCAUAAACUAGGGGAGAAAAGAAUGAUGAAAUCCUUGAGUGUUUUAUUACUGGUCCUGUGGCUUCAGCUGAGCCGGGUGCACAGCCAACAGAAGGCAGUGGAGCAGAGUCCUGCAGCCCUCAGUGUUCCAGAGGAAGCCAUGGCCUCUCUCAAUUGCACUUACAGUGACAGUGCUUCUCAGAACUUCGGGUGGUACCAACAGUAUUCUGGGAAAUGUCCCAAAUUGCUCAUAUCCAUAUACUCCAAUGGUGAAAAAGGUGAAGGAAGAUUCAACGCACAGCUUAAUACAGCCAAACGGCAUCUUUUCCUGCACAUCCGAGGCUCCCAGCUCAGUGACUCAGCCACCUACCUCUGUGCAGUGAGCACACAGUGCUCCCCAGGCACCUGCAGCUGCACAGAAACCUACUGUCCCAGUAGAA